rnacentral:rRNA from 1 species
UACGGAGGGGGCUAGCGUUGUUCGGAAUUACUGGGCGUAAAGCGCGCGUAGGCGGCUUUCUAAGUCAGGGGUGAAAUCCUGGAGCUCAACUCCAGAACUGCCUUUGAUACUGGAAAGCUUGAGUUCGGGAGAGGUGAGUGGAACUGCGAGUGUAGAGGUGAAAUUCGUAGAUAUUCGCAAGAACACCAGUGGCGAAGGCGGCUCACUGGCCCGAUACUGACGCUGAGGUGCGAAAGCGUGGGGAGCAAACAGG